GUGCCAGCAGCCGCGGUAAUACGUAGGGUGCGAGCGUUGUCCGGAAUUACUGGGCGUAAAGAGCUCGUAGGCGGUUUGUCGCGUCGUCUGUGAAAUUCUGCAACUCAAUUGCAGGCGUGCAGGCGAUACGGGCAGACUUGAGUACUACAGGGGAGACUGGAAUUCCUGGUGUAGCGGUGAAAUGCGCAGAUAUCAGGAGGAACACCGGUGGCGAAGGCGGGUCUCUGGGUAGUAACUGACACUGAGGAGCGAAAGCGUGGGAGCGAACAGGAUUAGAUACCCUGGUAGUCCACGCCGUAAACGGUGGGUACUAGGUGUGGGGCUCAUUUCACGAGUUCCGUGCCGGAGCUAACGCAUUAAGUACCCCGCCUGGGGAGUACGGCCGCAAGGUUGAAACUUAAAGAAAUUGACGG
rnacentral:rRNA from 1 species